UGAAUGACUACGACCCAAAUACACCUCAUGACUGUUUUGAACAGAUGAAAAUGGAAACAACACAUCUACCAACUGUGCAUGAAGACCCAUUGGUAGAUCCCGAUCUCACCCUGUUUGUGGACGGCUCAAGAUAUGCUGAUGAAGAAGGAAGAUACCAUACAGGAUAUGCAGUCACCACAACAGAUGAAAUUAUCAAGUCAU